UAAAGCAGGUGACCUUUAUCAAUACAAGCCUUAAACUUCUCCAUUCUUGAAGAGUGAUUUAGAAUGGGCUCACUCCUGAGAUCAUUCUCACACAGUAAUGUGCUUCACUAACCUGAUAUAAGUUGAGGGUGGUGAACAGAUGGCUGCAGUGUUGGGAGAGAGUGAAUCCAAGGAUCUUGCUGAGAACAAAGUGGAAUAAAUAUUCUUUGGACUAGGACUAACACCAGAAAUCAUAAUGAUCUCUGCACAAAAUCUCCAAAAGGACACUCCAAAGGGCACAGCCUCCUGUGGAGGGAAAGAAGCCACUAAUAACCAGAAUGGACCUGGAAACUUUUUAAGAUGCAAAGCCCUGUAGAGGGAGCACCUGCCAGAUCUACAUGAAGUCACACAGCUAUGGCCCAGCCUCCAAGACUCCAGGAGAACAGAUGUGACACUUGACACUUCCUCUGUGAGGACCAGAACCUGCUUCACUAGACACACAAUGGCGAAUCCUCCUAAGCACCAAAGAGGUUGAGAGGACAGACAGCCGGCAGGGCACUGAGUGUCCUCUGCUUGUGUCUUUUUAUGAAUCCUUCCAUUUUUCUGCAACCCACCCACUGGAUGCAGAUCACAAAAUCUCAUGAGGUUUGGGGACAGGGGUUUCUUCCUGGGGUCUUAUUCUGUUCUUUUCAGCAAGUGAACACUGAAGGUUAAGAACCUCACCACCACUACUACCAGCAGCCCUUCACUGGGGUCCCAUUCAAUCAUGAAAGAAAAAUUUGGGAAACUGAGACUCAGCCUCCAUGGACUGUAUACCUCCACCUUUAUCUUACGCUAACCUAUUCAGUUGCUCUAAUCAUUCAGAUUUCUCACCUCAGCCCCUCAGCUUGGGGACCUAUCUUGCUCUCACCUCCCACCCACAGCCAAUCCCAAAAGGGAAUCUAGAAUAUUCAUGAAUGCCCAGAUAGAGCAUUCACACAGAGCUGUGGGUCCAGGAGAGGUGCAGAGCAGACUCCAUUUUCAUUCCAGCAUGGAAACUCCACCCUAGCGCAUCUUCCUGUUUUUAACAAGAUAGAUCUGCCUUCUCUGGCAAACAUGCCUAACCAAGCCCAAAAUCAGGAUGCCCCAUCCUUGGCCUUGAGCCUUCACCCGCCAAAACAAGUCUUUCUGGGCUGGCCAGAAGAUUCCAGAUCUUAGAACGGAAGUUUCUCAGCUCCAGGCUCUGCGUGCUGACUCAUUUCUCAUGGAUAAGUUAAACCUCCUUUGGGAGAGAGAGCUAAACUACAGGUGCCCCAAACUCAGUUCCAAAAGCCCUCCAGGAGCAGUGCUCAGAGGGAGCCAGGAGAACUGGAGACAGGGUGGCAGGACUGGGAGGGAGCCAGAGCUCAGGAAAUGAGCUUCUGCCCUUCGGGUAGUUUCCAGGAGUGACUCCUUGCAGCCAGACGGAAUGGGAUGCAUACAGCUGCCUCCCCGACGGGGUUUCAGUGUUUGCUUCCUCUCCAAAGCUGUGGCUGGAAAGGACUGUCAUGAAAACAAGACUCAGAAUCCUUCUUCAAUUUUCCUUCAGCCCAAAUGUAGCAGAAAUGCAGUCAACAAAAAUACUAGCAAAUAAUAUCAUUGGCAAUAUCAGUAACUCUGCACAGGAUUAAUCGAUCAUGUUGCUUAAGAAAUAAUCUUUGUUUGGUUUUUACACUUUUAGAUCCUGGGAAGCAAGACUAGUUUAGAGAGAAAGAUAGAGGAUUUAGGAUUGUGAGGGAAGUGUCAGCUGGGCACUUUCUAGGUCUAAAUUAAAUGGUCUUGAUUCUAUUUAAAAUACUAUAUGUAUGAUUUUCUUGUGAAAGAGGAAAUAUUCAUUCA